CUACCAGUUACACUUUCCAGUACAACUACUAUGUUACGACUUGUCUCAUAUCAAAAUGAGAAUGACGGGCGAUAUGUACACAAUCCAGAACUAAUCCAAAAAAACAAUUAAGAAAAAAUUACUCCCAAAUCCAAUUUCAUAUAAUUAAUUACUAAUUAAUAAUCCAACAUUCAAAUUAAUGUAAUCCAUUACUACCCCAAUAUAAGCUGCAUCUAGACCUGAAUCAAAGACUAUAGAUAAAAUAAAAUUCUCUCCCGAGACAUUAAAUAAACAGAGAUAUACAAACACUUUAAUUAGGGUAAAAUCAAUCGUGGAAUAUCAUUUAAAGAACAGAUUCCUCUAAACAGAAUAAAUUACCGCCAACUCAAUUUAAUUUCAAGAACAAAUCUCAAACUCCCAAGAUAAAUGCAAUUUUAUGGCCUCAAUAAUAGGGUAUCUAAUCCUAGUUUAAAAGAAGAAUUUAUCAUUUUUGAGUACAAAGAAUGUUUAAACAAUCAUGAUUUCACCCAUUCCACUAACCCAUCAUAUCUCUUCCAUAUUAACAAUAAAAUGAUUAACUAAUCACUAAUACUAGCUUAUCAGGUCUAACCGCGACUGCUGGCACCCUAUCUAGUCAUAGCUUAUUGACGUAACUAACUCAAGGACAACCCAAAAAUUAAAAUUAACCGCUGCACCCGAAAGAAUUUAAUAUUUAUAUAUAAAAGUAAGCCUCACACACACCUAUGUAGACAUACGAAAUCACGCCCUCAUAAUAAAACAGACCUAAACAAUCUAAAAACAAAA
rnacentral:rRNA from 1 species